AUACAUGCAAGUCGAGCGGAUGUGAUGGGAGCUUGCUCCCUGAAGUCAGCGGCGGACGGGUGAGUAACACGUGGGUAACCUGCCUGUAAGACUGGGAUAACUCCGGGAAACCGGGGCUAAUACCGGAUAGUUCUUUUCCUCGCAUGAGGAAAAGUGGAAAGGCGGCUUCGGCUGCCACUUACAGAUGGACCCGCGGCGCAUUAGCUAGUUGGUGAGGUAACGGCUCACCAAGGCAACGAUGCGUAGCCGACCUGAGAGGGUGAUCGGCCACACUGGGACUGAGACACGGCCCAGACUCCUACGGGAGGCAGCAGUAGGGAAUCUUCCGCAAUGGACGAAAGUCUGACGGAGCAACGCCGCGUGAGUGAUGAAGGUUUUCGGAUCGUAAAGCUCUGUUGUUAGGGAAGAACAAGUGCCGUUCGAAUAGGGCGGCACCUUGACGGUACCUAACCAGAAAGCCACGGCUAACUACGUGCCAGCAGCCGCGGUAAUACGUAGGUGGCAAGCGUUGUCCGGAAUUAUUGGGCGUAAAGCGCGCGCAGGCGGUCUCUUAAGUCUGAUGUGAAAGCCCACGGCUCAACCGUGGAGGGUCAUUGGAAACUGGGGGACUUGAGUACAGAAGAGGAAAGU
rnacentral:rRNA from 1 species